UACAGAGGAGCCAAGCGUUGUCCGGAUUGACUGGGCGUAAAGCGCACGCAGGCGGGGGGGCGCGUGGGGGGUGAAAUCUGGCCGCUUAACGGCCAGGCGCCAUCCCAUACGGCACGCCUGGAGCCUUGCAGAGGUCGGUGGAAUUGCCGGUGUAGUGGUGAAAUGCGUAGAGAUCCGGCGGAACACCGGUGGUGAAGACGGUCUCCUGGGCCGAGGGCCGACGCUGAGGCGCGAGAGCGUGGGGAGCGAACCGG
rnacentral:rRNA from 1 species